ensembl:lncRNA
ACACACACACACACAUACAUACAUACAUAUACACACACACACACUACUUGUGUAACUACUUGUGUGUGUAAACAAGUAGUUAAUAUAGGAGAGAAUCUAACACCUAGCUACAGGUUAUUUAACGGAUUUAUUUACAAGGAAUAUAAUAAAAGUAUCAUGAAAAUAAAAACCCAGCCGUCUCUUUUCCUCAGCGUAAUUAGCUAACUUAGUUGUUAGCUGGCUCUGAAAACGUUAGCUGUAACAUUAGCGAACCAGUAAUAUUCAAAUAAAACAUUUAAAGCACGCCAAAAGCAUAAAUUUAUAAGCAGACUGAGAGAAGUUCAUCUUAAUAAGCCCGGCUAGUCAGACUGAACUAAGUUUAUUUAUAUUAGCGUUAGCUAGCACGCCGCAUAACAAUAACCUUUACAAGCAAAACCACGUAGUUAGCUUAGCUACCAGAGCACUUCUCAAACCCUGCCUCGGAGAAAGUUUGCUAGAUGUAGAAUACAUUCGAAAUAUACACAUAUCUUACGAGUACUUUAAAAAGAAGUAAUAAAAUGAACGCCGUCACUGAGAGAACUCGGAGGUAACUAGCUAGUUCCGGCGACAGGUAAGACGAGGGCUCGCUAAGGAUAGCAAGGUAAACAGAAAAAUGAAAGCAGUUUCGUCAAAAAUAAUUUAGCAGUCGCUACAAAUACGACGAAAGAUUUAAAAACCUGAGAUAAUUACCUUUUUGUUGUUUUUAGAUUUGUCGUCGUUCCAGACUUUUAGUGGAAAUGGUAGGCUCUGUAUGCGCGACCUCUAAACAAUCCGAGGCUCCUGGAGCGGAGUAACUUCUCAAACAGCGGCCAGUGUGGAGCGAACCGAUCCCUCUGGAAAGGAACUGCAGGACAUUUUAUAUCACGGUUUAUAUCACUGCUGCGAAACCGUGAAUGCCGACUGAGUCAGUAGUUGCCCACGACUCGGAGAAACUCUCGAUCCAUCGCCGACUCACAUUAAACUAUUUUAACGACGCGCCGUCCAUCAGAGACGAGACAAGCGAGUCUCAUUUACCGUAGUGAAGUUUCAGCUCAGCAGCGCCUCGCUGCGGACAACCCGGGUGGGAGGAAACCAGAGAACCUGGAGGAAACCCACUGAGACACAGGAUGAACAUGUGAAAGUCAGUAGCCCAGGCUCAGCAUCAAAC